rnacentral:rRNA from 1 species
UACGUAGGGUGCAAGCGUUGUCCGGAAUUAUUGGGCGUAAAGAGCUCGUAGGCGGUCUGUCGCGUCGGCUGUGAAAACCCGAGGCUCAACCUCGGGCCUGCAGUCGAUACGGGCAAACUAGAGUACUGCAGGGGAGACUGGAAUUCCUGGUGUAGCGGUGAAAUGCGCAGAUAUCAGGAGGAACACCGGUGGCGAAGGCGGGUCCCUGGGCCUGUACUGACACUGAGGCGCGAGAGCAUGGGGAUCAAACAGG